rnacentral:lncRNA from 1 species
AAAAAAAACUGGGUGAUUUAUUGUUAUUUCAAAAUUCUAUCUUAUAUCUUUUCUUUAUGCACACAAAUGUGGUUUUUUUCAUGAACAAUCUAACCAUUUUAAGGCAACUUUCAACGACUCAUAUAUAUAGCUUGUAUACAAAGAUAUGAGUUCACUUCCCCUCACGCAUUCACGAUGUCCUCAAUCAGAACUGAUCCCCUCACGCAUGACAUUAUGAAAAUAUGAGGUUUUUAAAUUUAUUAAGAUGUCUAUCGACACCGAUCAGCAUACACGCCGCCAAAAACGACAUUCAUACGCAUUGGCCGAAAAAAAAGUAAAUUUGAACUUGUAGGUCUGUUAAUAGAGCCAUUUCAAAAUUUAAAUGUAACUUUUUUAAGG